GAUACCGCCCUAGUUCUAACCAUAAACGAUGCCAACCAGCGAUCCGCCUGGGUUCCUCAAAUGACUCGGCGGGCAGCUUCCGGGAAACCAAAGUGUUUGGGUUCCGGGGGAAGUAUGGUUGCAAAGCUGAAACUUAAAGGAAUUGACGGAAGGGCACCACCAGGAGUGGAGCCUGCGGCUUAAUUUGACUCAACACGGGAAAACUUACCCGGCCCGGACACUGGAAGGAUUGACAGAUUAAGAGCUCUUUCUUGAUUCAGUGGGUGGUGGUGCAUGGCCGUUCUUAGUUGGUGGAGCGAUUUGUCUGGUUAAUUCCGAUAACGAACGAGACUCUAGCCUACUAAAUAGGCGUUCCGAUCACUUCAGUCGGACGUUCUUCUUAGAGGGACAAGCGGCGUUUAGCCGCACGAGACAGAGCAAUAACAGGUCUGUGAUGCCCUUAGAUGUCCGGGGCCGCACGCGCGCUACACUGAAGGAAUCAGCGUGUGCUUUCCCUGUCCGGUAGGACUGGGUAACCCGUUAAACCUCCUUCGUGAUAGGGAUAGGGGCUUGUAAUUGUUCCCCUUGAACGAGGAAUUCCCAGUAAGCACGAGUCAUAAGCUCGUGUUGAUUACGUCCCUGCCCUUUGUACACACCGCCCGUCGCUACUACCGAU
rnacentral:rRNA from 2 species